GGGGUUGUGGCUCAGUGGUAGAGUACUAGCAUGCCUAGCACGUUUGAGGCACUGGGUCCGAUUCUCAGCACCGCA
rnacentral:tRNA from 1 species